GAACAACCUCUGAAAAGAGGGUAAAGUCUUCCAAAGACUAAAAGAUCUCAGACCAUUGUAAACUGAAGCUAGAAGAAUACUUGGCACACACUAAAAAUUCAUGUAUUAUACCAAUGCACACAUUCUGAGCAUGUCAGGGGUGGCCAGUCUGGGGGCCAGCAGUGUACACGGCAGCCUUUCCAGAUCUGAGGGAGGUGUUGACUAAGAUAAAAACCACCAUGUGAGAGCCAUGAGUUUCAGUUUGAUUGAAAAACUUACUGAGGACUGUAGCUGGGGAGACAGCCUCUCAGAUAGCUCUGAAGAACUGCUCUGAAGAGAUCAGGUUAUUCAUUGGAAGGACUGAUGCUGAAGCUGAAACUCCAAUACUUUGGCCACUUGAUGUGAAGACUUGACUCAUUGGUCUCCUUGACUAGAUACGUCAAAAAAUCAGUUCUCAGAGGAUUCUGUGAGAUGGCAGAGCAGGAAGCACCGGGAAUCUGUCUCUCCACCCAGACAGCAAUAGCAACAGCAGAAAUGCUCAAGGGAGCUCUCUGGGGUGAAAUGAAAGGACACCAGACAGUAAUUUAAAGUCCCACGAAGAAAUACAGAUCUCAAUAAAGGCAAACACACGGGCGAUGGUAAAAGCUAGUAUCAUUGUAACAAUGGUUUGUAACUGUACUUUUUGUUUUCUACAUGAUUUAAGAGACUAUAC
ensembl:lncRNA